rnacentral:rRNA from 1 species
UGAGGAAUAUUGGUCAAUGGGCGAGAGCCUGAACCAGCCAAGUCGCGUGAAGGAAGAAGGUUCUAUUGAUUGUAAACUUCUUUUGCAGGGGAAUAAAAGAGGGCACGUGUGCUCUAUUGUAUGUACUCUGCGAAUAAGGAUCGGCUAACUCCGUGCCAGCAGCCGCGGUAAUACGGAGGACCCAAGCGUUAUCCGGAUUUAUUGGGUUUAAAGGGUGCGUAGGCGGGGAAUUAAGUCAGUGGUGAAAGUUUGCAGCUUAACUGUAAAAUUGCCAUUGAAACUGAUUUUCUUGAGUGCAAAUGAGGUAGGCGGAAUGUGUUGUGUAGCGGUGAAAUGCAUAGAUAUAACACAGAACCCCGAUUGCGAAGGCAGCUUACUGGGAUGCAACUGACGCUGAUGC